AUACGUAGGGUGCAAGCGUUAAUCGGAAUUACUGGGCGUAAAGCGUGCGCAGGCGGUUUUGUAAGACAGUGGUGAAAUCCCCGGGCUCAACCUGGGAACUGCCAUUGUGACUGCAAGGCUGGAGUGCGGCAGAGGGGGAUGGAAUUCCGCGUGUAGCAGUGAAAUGCGUAGAUAUGCGGAGGAACACCGAUGGCGAAGGCGAUUCCAUGGGCCUGCACUGACGCUCAUGCACGAAAGCGUGGGGAGCAAACAGGAUUAGAUUCCCUGGUAGUCCACGCCCUAAACGAUGUCAACUGGUUGUUGGGGAUUUAUUUUCUCAGUAACGAAGCUAACGCGUGAAGUUGACCGCCUGGGGAGUACGGCCGCAAGGUUAAAACUCAAAUGAAUUGGCGGGG
rnacentral:rRNA from 1 species